rnacentral:rRNA from 1 species
GACGAACGCUGGCGGCGUGCCUAAUACAUGCAAGUAGAACGCUGAAGAGAGGAGCUUGCUCUUCUUGGAUGAGUUGCGAAAGGGUGAGUAACGCGUAGGUAACCUGCCUUGUAGCGGGGGAUAACUAUUGGAAACGAUAGCUAAUACCGCAUAACAAUGGAUGACACAUGUCAUUUAUUUGAAAGGGGCAAUUGCUCCACUACAAGAUGGACCUGCGUUGUAUUAGCUAGUAGGUGAGGUAAUGGCUCACCUAGGCGACGAUACAUAGCCGACCUGAGAGGGUGAUCGGCCACACUGGGACUGAGACACGGCCCAGACUCCUACGGGAGGCAGCAGUAGGGAAUCUUCGGCAAUGGGGGCAACCCUGACCGAGCAACGCCGCGUGAGUGAAGAAGGUUUUCGGAUCGUAAAGCUCUGUUGUAAGUCAAGAACGGGUGUGAGAGUGGAAAGUUCACACUGUGACGGUAGCUUACCAGAAAGGGACGGCUAACUACGUG